GGAGGUAUGGCUGAGUGGCUUAAGGCAUUGGUUUGCUACAUCAUGCAUGGGUUCGAAUCCCAUUUCCUCCG